rnacentral:misc_RNA from 1 species
AACGCACAUUGCGCCCUUUGGUAUUCCAAAGGGCAUGCCUGUUCGAGCGUCAUUUGUACCCUCAAGCUUUGCUUGGUGUUGGGCGUCUUGUCUCUAGUUUGCUGGAGACUCGCCUUAAAGUCAUUGGCAGCCGGCCUACUGGUUUCGGAGCGCAGCACAAGUCGCGCUCUCUUCCAGCAAAGGUCAGUAUCCACAAAGCCUUUUUUUCAACUUUUGACCUCGGAUCAGGUAGGGAUACCCGCUGAACUUAA